AGCUCCAAUAGCAUAUAUUAAAGUUGUUGCAAUUAAAAAGCUCGUAGUUGGAUUUCUGGCAUGAUGCGCCUGGCCCGCCUCAAUUCUGAGUGUGUGUGCGAGUGCAUUUGCAGAAUGUGUCUAUUCUUCAUUGAGCCGGAUACGUGAUGUAAACCUUUUACUUUGAAAAAAUUAGAGUGUUUAAAGCAGGCAUUUUUCUAUGAAUAUAUUAGCAUGGAAUAAUAAUCUAGGACUUCGGUUCUAUUUUGUUGGUUUCUAGAUCUAAAGUGAUGAUUGAUAGGGAUAGUUGGGGGUGCUAGUAUUAUUCUUGAAUUCUCUUAAGACUAACUUAUGCGAAAGCAUUCACCAAGGAUGUCUUCU
rnacentral:rRNA from 1 species